rnacentral:rRNA from 1 species
AGAGUUUGAUCAUGGCUCAGAACGAACGCUGGCGGCAUGCCUAACACAUGCAAGUCGAACGUGAUCCAGGCUUCGGCCUGGUGAAAGUGGCAGACGGGUGAGUAACGCGUGGGAACCUGCCCUGUGGUAGGGAAUAACCGUGGGAAACUGCGGCUAAUACCCUAUGAGUCCUUCGGGAGAAAGAUUUAUCGCCAUAGGAGGGGCCCGCGUCGGAUUAGGUAGUUGGUGGGGUAACGGCCUACCAAGCCUUCGAUCCGUAGCUGGUCUGAGAGGAUGAUCAGCCACACUGGGACUGAGAUACGGCCCAGACUCCUACGGGAGGCAGCAGUGGGGAAUAUUGGACAAUGGGGGCAACCCUGAUCCAGCAAUGCCGCGUGGAUGAUGAAGGCCUUCGGGUUGUAAAGUCCUUUCGGCGGGGAAGAUGAUGACGGUACCCGCAGAAGAAGCCCCGGCUAACUUCGUGCCAGCAGCCGCGGUAAUACGAAGGGGGCUAGCGUUGUUCGGAAUUACUGGGCGUAAAGGGCGCGUAGGCUGUGCUGUAAGUCAGGCGUGAAAGCCCCGGGCUCAACCUGGGAAUUGCGCUUGAUACUGCGGCGCUGGAAGGUGGGAGAGGAUGGCGGAAUUCCCAGUGUAGAGGUGAAAUUCGUAGAUAUUGGGAAGAACACCGGUGGCGAAGGCGGCCAUCUGGCCCACAAUUGACGCUGAGGCGCGAAAGCGUGGGGAGCAAACAGGAUUAGAUACCCUAGUAGUCC